GAUGAACUCCGGGGUCUGAGAGUGGG
rnacentral:piRNA from 1 species